ACUCCUACGGGAGGCAGCAGUGAGGAAUAUUGGUCAAUGGGCGCAAGCCUGAACCAGCCAUGCCGCGUGCAGGAAGAAUGCCCUAUGGGUUGUAAACUGCUUUUAUUUGGGAAUAAACCUCUCUACGUGUAGGAAGCUGAAGGUACCAAAUGAAUAAGCACCGGCUAACUCCGUGCCGCGGUAAU
rnacentral:rRNA from 1 species